CCUACGGGCGGCUGCAGUGGGGAAUAUUGGACAAUGGGCGAAAGCCUGAUCCAGCCAUGCCGCGUGUGUGAAGAAGGCCUUCGGGUUGUAAAGCACUUUCAGUGGGGAAGAAAGCCUUGGGGCUAAUACCCUCGAGGAAGGACAUCACCCACAGAAGAAGCACCGGCUAACUCCGUGCCAGCAGCCGCGGUAAUACGGAGGGUGCGAGCGUUAAUCGGAAUUACUGGGCGUAAAGCGCGCGUAGGCGGUCUGAUAAGCCGGUUGUGAAAGCCCCGGGCUCAACCUGGGAACGGCAUCCGGAACUGUCAGGCUAGAGUGCAGGAGAGGGAGGUAGAAUUCCCGGUGUAGCGGUGAAAUGCGUAGAGAUCGGGAGGAAUACCAGUGGCGAAGGCGGCCUUCUGGACUGACACUGACGCUGAGGUGCGAAAGCGUGGGUAGCAAACAGGAUUAGAUACCCCUGUAGUC
rnacentral:rRNA from 1 species